rnacentral:rRNA from 1 species
GUAGGGUGCGAGCGUUGCCCGGAUUUAUUGGGCGUAAAGGGCGCGUAGGCGGCUCGGCACGUCCGUUGUGAAAUCGCCCGGCUCAACUGGGCGGGGUCGGCGGAUACGGCCGAGCUGGAGCAAGCUAGGGGGUAAUGGAAUUCCCGGUGUAGUGGUGGAAUGCGUAGAUAUCGGGAGGAACACCAGUGGCGAAGGCGGUUACCUGGAGCUUUGCUGACGCUGAUGCGCGAAAGCGUGGGGAGCGAUCCGGAUUAGAUACCCGGGUAGUCCACGCCGUAAACGAUGCGGACUAGGUGUCGGGGGUAUCGACCCCCUCGGCGCCGCAGCUAACGCAUUAAGUCCGCCGCCUGGGGACUACGGCCGCAAGGCUAAA